AGCCUUGGUGGUUAUCCCUAGUUCCUGAGCCUCUGCUGGUCCCUGGGAUGUGGCCAGUAAAGCCCUGGAGCAUAGAAAGAGGGAAGGAAAUCGGUCAUAGAGUGCACACUUCUCAUGGAAAUGGGCAAGGAAGAGUUGCAGGUGCCAGAGGAAAUACAUCACCAAUUGGUAGCUGCUUCCUUAUACUUCCCCACCAGGAAGUCCUCAAGGGGAUGCCAACGCCUCGUUCUUUGGACCUUCCAACCACCAGAACCAUAAGCCAAAUAAACCCCCUUUCCUCAUAAAAUACCCGGCCUUGGGUGUCCCAUCACGGUAGCACAAAGACACAAGCAGAACCUGAACGUGAGAAUAGGAUGCUCUCUGGACCAGGGAAGAAUGGAGUCAAGCUGCCAUCCUCGUCCUUCCUGAGAGCGUUUCUUGAGAAUGCGGUUCAGCAAAAUGAAAGAAAAGAAAAGUGUGGCAGACACAAAAUCCUGGAAAACAAAUUAAUCAAUAAUUAAUUAUUAGUUAAAAACUAAAUAAACAGUUAAUUUCAAAUAUGA